UUCUUAUUAAGAAUGGUGGAGGGACUGGCCCUGUGAAACCUAGCAACCUAGUUUUUCAAUUAAGAAUUAUGAAUUAAGAAUUAUGAAUUGAUUAAAAACUCUUGGAGUUUUAUCCUUAAUUCAUCAUUCAUCACUCAUAAUUCAUCAUUAAGAACUGUGGUGCUAAAUCCUGCAAGGCUUUGCCUUGAGAAAUGAGAU
rfam:Clostridium sp. CAG:221 genomic scaffold, scf134